rnacentral:misc_RNA from 1 species
AAUGUUCUGCAAUGCAAAUAGUAUGUUAAAUCAGAUCGCCACUGGAACCACGUAGCUUAGCAACAUUUGCUAGCUAUGUGGGAAACUGUGGCAUCAAUCCUCUGGCAGGGGAUCAGAUGUGUCUAGUUGUUUUCAACCAGUCCUGAUGACUCCUUGCUCGGAAGAUGAACUUGUUCAACUUGGUUUAUCACCACUGUCUACGACAGUGAUGAACAAAAUCACUGUUUAACACUCUGCUUUAAGAUUUUGACUUUCCCUCACCGAAGCUUGCUUUGUGUGAGGGACUGUUUUCACUUUAGC